AGUGAACGCUGGCGGUAGGCCUAACACAUGCAAGUCGAACGGCAGCACAGUAAGAUCUUGCUCUUACGUGUGGCGAGUGGCGGACGGGGGAGGAAUACAUCGGAAUCUACUUUUUCUUGGGGUAGAACGUAGGGAAACUUACGCUAAUACCGCAUACGACCUACGGGUGAAAGCAUGGGAUCUUCGGACCUGGCGCGACUGUAUGAGCCGAUGUCGGAUUAGCUAGUUGGCGGGGUAAAGUCCCACCAAAGCGACGAUCCGUAGCUGGUCUGAGAGGAUGAUCAGCCACACUGGAACUGAGACACGGUCCAGACUCCUACGGGAGGCAGCAGUGGGGAAUAUUGGACAAUGGGCGCAAGCCUGAUCCAGCCCUACCGAGUGGGUGACGAAGGCCUUCGGGUUGUAAAGCUCUUUUGUUGGGGAAGAAAAGCAGCAGGUUAAUCCCCCGCUGUUCUGACGGUACCCAAAGAAUAAGCACCGGCUAACUUCGUG
rnacentral:rRNA from 1 species